rnacentral:tRNA from 1 species
GUUUUGUGGUCUAGUGGUAAGGCUCACUGUCUAUAGAUCAUGAAGUCGCCUGGUUCAAGCCCAGCUAGGAACA